CUCUCUCUCUCUCUCUGUGCUCUGCAGUCUGCGAUAUGGAGGCCAUGCCUCAAGAUGGGUCAUUGACUGCGCCUCUCAUCGUUGAUGAGAAGGAACAAAAUUUGAGACGGGAAGAUUUAGAGUCAAACUACACUCAUUAUACCAAAGGAACAACCUCUUCCUUCAAGACCAUUGUCAAUGGAUUGAAUGCUUUGUCAGGAGUUGGAAUACUUUCGACCCCGUACGCAGUAUCAUCAGGAGGGUGGCUGAGCUUGAUCCUUCUCUUUGUUAUUGCCAUUUCAGCCUUUUACUCAGGCUUAUUGAUAAAGAAGUGUAUGGAAGCAGAUUCAAAUAUCAGAACUUAUCCGGACAUAGGAGAGCGUGCUUUUGGUAACAAAGGAAGACUUUUAAUAUCAAUUUUCAUGUACGCAGAGCUCUACUUAGUCGCCACAGGUUUUCUGAUUCUAGAGGGGGAUAACUUGCAGAACCUGUUUCCCAACGUGGAAGUUGAAAUGGCAGGAUUCCAUAUAGGUGCAAGACAAACCUUUGUUAUAAUUGUUGCUCUUAUUAUCUUGCCUACGGUUUGGUUGGAUAAUUUGAGCAUCCUUUCUUACGUCUCUGCUAGUGGGGUUUUAGCUUCUGCUAUAAUUCUUUGUUCAAUUUUCUGGGCUGGAGCAUUUGAUGGAAUUGGAUUUCAUGAAAAGGGAACUCUGCUAAACUGGGAUGGAAUCCCCACUGCUGUUAGCUUAUAUGCCUUCUGUUACUGUGCACAUCCUGUAUUCCCCACCCUGUACACGUCUAUGAAGAAGAGGCAUCAGUUCUCAAAUGCAAGUUCCUAUCAAGACUUGAUUUUUAUGGUUUUCCUACUUGACAUAUUUUGAUCACUAAACUUUUGCUUGAAUAACUUACAAUGCAGGUCCUGCUUAUUUGCUUCAUUUUAUGUACCUUCAGCUAUGCAUCAAUGGCUGUUAUUGGAUACUCGAUGUUUGGGUCUGAGGUUGAAUCGCAGGUAACCUUAAACCUACCGAUCAAAAAGUUAAGCUCAAGAGUGGCAAUAUACACCACCCUGGUCAAUCCCAUAUCAAAAUAUGCAUUGAUGGUUACACCAAUAGUGAAUGCUACAAGGAAUUGGUUUCCAUGGUACUGCAACAAGAAGCCCUUCAACAUUUUCAUCAGUACCGCUUUACUGAUCAGCACUGUAAUUGUAGCCCUGGCUGUCCCUUUCUUUGGUUAUCUCAUGUCCCUGGUUGGAGCAUUCUUAAGUUUCACAGCUUCAAUUAUACUUCCAUGUUUAUGUUACCUGAAGAUUUCAGGCGCUUACAGGAGACUUGGAUGCGAAGUGGUGGUAAUUGGGGGAAUUGUAGCAUUGGGUGUUGCCGUCGUUAUAUUUGGUACUUACACUGCUCUCUUGCAAAUUAUAGGGCAUUUGCAUAACUAGCUGAAGCAUAAAUAUAUUAUUUUAGAAAUUUCUUUGAAAAGAAGGGAGAUGCCAAGAUUACCUUCCCCACUACAAGACAAGCAAGCUUAGCUACUCCAAUAAUUUUUUGUUUUUUUUUUUAAUCCUGGUGGUAUUGUAAGUGCUGUAGUCAAUACUUGCUAGCAAUAUACUUCGAUUCGUCAUUCCAAGUUUAUUUAUUUCUUGUACAAGCUUGUAUACAUUUUCACUUGUAUGGUAAGGGUAAGAAUUAAGUGAAUUGAAUUUAUCAACUGUUCAUUGCGACUGGAA
rnacentral:misc_RNA from 1 species